rfam:Ictidomys tridecemlineatus contig035206, whole genome shotgun sequence.
GGGGAUAUAGCUCAGUUGGUAGAGUGCUUGCCUUGCAAGCACAAGGCUCUAGGUUCGAUCCAUAGCACCAUCA